AGUGAACGCUGGCGGUAGGCCUAACACAUGCAAGUCGAACGGCAGCACAGAGGAGCUUGCUCCUUGGGUGGCGAGUGGCGGACGGGUGAGGAAUACAUCGGAAUCUACUCUGUCGUGGGGGAUAACGUAGGGAAACUUAGGCUAAUACCGCAUACGACCUACGGGCGAAAGCAGGGGAUCUUCGGACCUUGCGCGAUUGAAUGAGCCGAUGUCGGAUUAGCUAGUUGGCGGGGUAAAGGCACACCAAGGCGACGAGCCGUAGCUGGUCUGAGAGGAUGAUCAGCCACACUGGAACUGAGACACGGUCCAGACUCCUACGGGAGGCAGCAGUGGGGAAUAUUGGACAAUGGGCGCAAGCCUGAUCCAGCCAUACCGCGUGGGUGAGGAAGGCCUUCGGGUUGUAAAGCCCUUUUGUUGGGAAAGAAAUCCAUCUGGUUAAUACCCGGGUGGGAUGACGGUACCCAAAGAAUAAGCACCGGCUAACUUCGUGCCAGCAGCCGCGGUAA
rnacentral:rRNA from 1 species